rnacentral:rRNA from 1 species
AUUGAACGCUGGCGGCAUGCUUUACACAUGCAAGUCGAACGGCAGCGCGGGCUUCGGCCUGGCGGCGAGUGGCGAACGGGUGAGUAAUACAUCGGAACGUGCCCAGUAGUGGGGGAUAGCUCGGCGAAAGCCGGAUUAAUACCGCAUACGACCUGAGGGUGAAAGCGGGGGAGCUUCGGACCUCGCGCUAUUGGAGCGGCCGAUGGCAGAUUAGCUAGUUGGUGGGGUAAAGGCCUACCAAGGCGACGAUCUGUAGCUGGUCUGAGAGGACGACCAGCCACACUGGGACUGAGACACGGCCCAGACUCCUACGGGAGGCAGCAGUGGGGAAUUUUGGACAAUGGGCGAAAGCCUGAUCCAGCAAUGCCGCGUGUGUGAUGAAGGCUUUCGGGUUGUAAAGCACUUUUGGCGGGAACGAAAAGGACUGUGCCAAUACCACGGUUCGAUGACGGUACCCGCAGAAUAAGCACCGGCUAACUACGUG